UGUAUGUAUAAAUUCUUUCCGACCGGCUGUAAAAGCUAUCAGUCGACAGUUACCCAGUCGGUUGUCAAUUUUUUUUUUUAAUAAAUUUAUGUUAUCACUGUGGUUGAGCCCAAUUUUAACUUUUUGUUUCGUCGUGCAGAUAUGGUUGUAAUCCCAGUUUGUUAUUUUGGUGAUUUUAAAUUGGAUGAAAAUGAUCGAUGGAUAUAAAAAUGGACGAAUAAUGUACGUGGUGGUAUUCCGAUUUCCAUAGCAAGUAAUACAUCAUACGUGGAAAUGUACCAUAAUUUAGAAAGCAAGCUGAAUGUCGAUGUCUCUAAGCAUAAGAUGGAACUAAGAUUUCAAUUCAAGGAGCAUUCAUCCUUUUCGAUUCCACCUAUGAAGGUUACUUCUAAUUCUGAAGUGAAUUGUCUAUUUGAAUUGAAUAAAACGCACACGACUCCUCUUUGCGUGACUUUAGUGAAGAAGGAUGUGAUAAAAUUCGAUACGGGUAAGUUCUAAAUUAAAUCGACCCAAUUCAGUUGUUGAAACCAAAUCGAACUGUUGUCAAUUUUAUAUUCUGCAAGUAUAUGGAUCGUUAUUGGUAAUAAAGUGGACCUAAAAGUUCGGAUAUUAUUCUCACGAGUACUGCUAUUUAACAAUGACAAUUGGUUCAUUUAUUCUUAAUUUGAAUUUGAUUGAAAACGAAUAAAGUAGAUAUUUGUUUUUUCUUUUGUGAUUAUCUCUUUUAAUUAUACUAAAACAAGUAAAAAGCUGAU
rnacentral:lncRNA from 1 species